rnacentral:lncRNA from 1 species
GCCCCACCUUGCUGCAUGAUCUCCACGAUCUGCACCACCUUGUCCAUGUGUUUCCGAGCGGCAAUCAGCCCUUGCAGCAUCAGCAUCUUAUAGUAGUUGAACAUGUCGCCAUCCAGGCCGCCCAUCACCUGGAAACACCUCUCCUUCUUGACUCACAUCCACAAACUCUGUGGUCAGCUUAAAGGCUGACGUCUCAAAGCCCAGAUUUCGGGGUGAGCUGGAGAGGAUGAAGCCAAAGUCGAUGUGGAUGAUGUGGCCUUCUGCGUCCAAAAGGAUAUUCCCAUUGUGUCUGAGGAGGGAAGUAAUCGAGCAAGGAGAGCUGUGACUGUUUCUUCACCUGAUGGAUGGACACAGCAUUGACCACUGGUUCAAUCAUGCCACUAUCAGCCGAAAUCACAAGAAUCUUGUAUGGCUUGAUCCAAAGGGGCACUCGCUCCUGUUCCCAAAUGGACUGUGAGGAGACAU